rnacentral:rRNA from 1 species
GNNANNNGGGNGAUGCUUUACNCAUGCAGUCGAACGGCAGCACGGACUUCGGUCUGGUGGCGAGUGGCGAACGGGUGAGUAACAUAUCGGAACGUAUCCAAUAAUGGGGGAUAACGAGUCGAAAGAUUCGCUAAUACCGCAUACGCCCUACGGGGGAAAGCUAGGGACCUUCGGGCCUGGCGUUAAUGGAGCGGCCGAUAUCUGAUUAGCUAGUUGGUGAGGUAAAGGCUCACCAAGGCGACGAUCAGUAGCUGGUCUGAGAGGACGACCAGCCACACUGGAACUGAGACACGGUCCAGACUCCUACGGGAGGCAGCAGUGGGGAAUUUUGGACAAUGGGCGCAAGCCUGAUCCAGCCAUUCCGCGUGAGUGAAGAAGGCCUUCGGGUUGUAAAGCUCUUUCGCAAGGGAAGAAAACUUAGCCACUAACAUUGGUUGAGGCUGACGGUACCUUGAUAAGAAGCACCGGCUAACUACGUGCCAGCAGCCGCGGUAAUACGUAGGGUGCGAGCGUUAAUCGGAAUUACUGGGCGUAAAGCGUGCGCAGGCGGCGUGACAAGUCAGAUGUGAAAUCCCCGAGCUCAACUUGGGAACUGCGUUUGAAACUGUCAGGCUAGAAUAUGUCAGAGGGGGGUAGAAUUCCACGUGUAGCAGUGAAAUGCGUAGAGAUGUGGAGGAAUACCAAUGGCGAAGGCAGCCCCCUGGGAUAAUAUUGACGCUCAUGCACGAAAGCGUGGGGAGCAAACAGGAUUAGAUACCCUGGUAGUCCACGCCCUAAACGAUGUCUACUAGUUGUUGGUGGAGUAAAAUCCAUGAGUAACGCAGCUAACGCGUGAAGUAGACCGCCUGGGGAGUACGGUCGCAAGAUUAAAACUCAAAUGAAUUGACGGGGCCCGCACAGCGGUGGAUUAUGUGGAUUAUUCGAUGCACGCGAAAACNUACUGGCUUGAC